UACGGAGGGUGCAAGCGUUAUCCGGAUUCACUGGGUUUAAAGGGUGCGUAGGCGGGUUGGUAAGUCCGUGGUGAAAUCCCCAAGCUUAACUUGGGAACUGCCGUGGAUACUAUCAAUCUUGAAUAUCGUGGAGGUAAGCGGAAUAUGUCAUGUAGCGGUGAAGUGCUAAGAUAUGACAUAGAACACCAAUUGCGUAGGCAGCUUACUACACGAUCAUUGACGCUGAGGCACGAAAGCGUGGGGAGCAAACAGG
rnacentral:rRNA from 1 species